rnacentral:tRNA from 1 species
GGGCGUGUAGCUCAGCUGGUUAGAGCGUUACAUUGACAUUGUAAAGGUCAGAGGUUCGAGUCCUCUCACGCCCA